rnacentral:rRNA from 1 species
CAAAGAUUAAGCAUGGCAUGUGAGGCAGGAUC